AUUGAACGCUGGCGGCGGGCUUUACACAUGCAAGUCGGACGAGUGGCGAACGGGUGAGUAACGCAUCGGAACGUACCGGGUAAUGGGGGAUAACUGUCCGAAAGGACAGCUAAUACCGCAUAUUAUUCGAGCGGCCGAUGUGUGAUUAGCUGGUUGGCGGGGUAAAGGCUCACCAAGGCGACGAUCAGUAGCGGGUCUGAGAGGAUGAUCAGACACACUGGGACUGAGACACGGCCCAGACUCCUACGGGAGGCAGCAGUGGGGAAUUUUGGACAAUGGGCGCAAGCCUGAUACAGCCAUGCCGCGUGUCUGAAGAAGGCCUUCGGGUUGUAAAGGACUUUUGGUAGGGAGGCGGUACCGAAAGAAGAAGCACCGGCUAACUCCGUGCCAGCAGCCGCGGUAAUUC
rnacentral:rRNA from 1 species